rnacentral:rRNA from 1 species
GGGUUGUGAGGUUAAGCGACUAAGCGUACACGGUGGAUGCCCUGGCAGUCAGAGGCGAUGAAGGGCGUGCUAAUCUGCGAUAAGCGCCGGUAAGGUGAUAUGAACCGUUAUAACCGGCGAUACCCGAAUGGGGAAACCCAGUGUGAUUCGUCACACUAUCAUUAACUGAAUCCAUAGGUUAAUGAGGCGAACCGGGGGAACUGAAACAUCUAAGUACCCCGAGGAAAAGAAAUCAACCGAGAUUCCCCCAGUAGCGGCGAGCGAACGGGGAGGAGCCCAGAGCCUGAAUCAGCAUGUGUGUUAGUGGAAGCGUCUGGAAAGGCGCGCGAUACAGGGUGACAGCCCCGUACACAAAAGCGCAUAUGCUGUGAGCUCGAUGAGUAGGGCGGGACACGUGGUAUCCUGUCUGAAUAUGGGGGGACCAUCCUCCAAGGCUAAAUACUCCUGACUGACCGAUAGUGAACCAGUACCGUGAGGGAAAGGCGAAAAGAACCCCGGCGAGGGGAGUGAAAAAGAACCUGAAACCGUGUACGUACAAGCAGUGGGAGCCCCACCACUAAGCCAGUGGU